UACGUAGGGCGCAAGCGUUGUCCGGAAUUAUUGGGCGUAAAGAGCUCGUAGGCGGUCUGUCGCGUCUGCCGUGAAAACCCGAGGCUUAACCUCGUGGCUUGCGGUGGAUACGGGCAGACUAGAGGUAGGUAGGGGAGAAUGGAAUUCCCGGUGUAGCGGUGAAAUGCGCAGAUAUCGGGAGGAACACCGGUGGCGAAGGCGGUUCUCUGGGCCUUACCUGACGCUGAGGAGCGAAAGCUAGGGGAGCAAAUGGG
rnacentral:rRNA from 1 species